AUGGAAGCCUCCCGUUACAUCUUCCUCGUAAUAUACCUUCACAUUCUGUGCUCAAUCCUCCUUCCUGUCCCAGCAACAUCCGCAUCCAACGAAACCGAUCUAUUAGCGCUUGUAUCCUUCAAGUCUCUUGUAUCAGGUGAUCCACUGAAGAUACUAUCCUCGUGGAAUGGCUCUGUCCACCACUGCCUGUGGCCGGGCAUCAAGUGCGGCCGCCGUCAUCCUGACCGUGUUACUUCUCUCAUUCUAAACUCUAGCCGUCUUUCAGGUCAGAUAUCUCCAGCUUUGUCCAACCUCACCUUUCUCUAUGAGCUGAGCCUCAGUGAUAACCAGUUCACCGGAAUUAUCCCGGAAGAGCUCGGGAAGCUGGUUAGACUAAGCUCCAUUGAUCUGUCUCACAACACCCUCGGUGGCCAUAUGCCACCAACUCUUGGAAACUGCACAAGAUUACUCACUAUUAACCUCAGAAAGAAUAACCUUCAAGGCAUGAUCCCUUCUAGUCUUGGACUAUGUACGGACCUAGUUAACCUGGUGUUAACCUCUAAUAACCUCGUAGGAAACAUCCCACCAGACCUUGGCAAUCUAACCAGUUUGCUAUUACUUCGUUUGGAUGUGAACAAUCUGACUGGUUCCAUCCCAUCUUCUCUUGGCCAGCUCCAUGUACUUCAAACCAUUUGCGUUAACGAGAACGAUCUUUCUGGCGAGAUACCGCCUUCCUUGUACAAUAUUUCAUCCAUGGAUAUCUUUCAGCUAGCUUACAACAGUCUCCAAGGUAGUCUUCCUUCUGAUAUUGGUGUUUCGUUUCCUAACCUGGUGAGUCUGGUUAUAUUUGGAAAUUACCUUCAAGGGCAAAUCCCUGAGUCAAUAUCCAACUGUUCCUACUUAUCUUCUAUUGAAAUUGCUAGUAACAAAUUCACAGGUCCCAUUCCUGCUAGCAUAGGAAGCUUGCAAAACCUUGAGAUAUUAGCAUUUUCUAACAAUCUACUUGAGGCCAAGACAACUAGAGACUGGGGAUUUCUUGACCAGUUAAGCAAUUGCACAGAGUUGCAAGUGUUAGACCUCGCCCAGAACCAACUCCAAGGAAUGAUACCUAACUCUAUAGGAAACCUUUCCACUAGUCUUUACUUUUUUAGUAUGAGAUAUAGUGGAAUUUCAGAAAGCAUCCCUGCUGUAAUCGGUAACCUAGUAGGUCUGACUAGAAUUCUGCUAGACAACAUGCUACUUAGUGGCCCCAUACCCCAGGAAAUUGGCAACCUCUUGAGACUUGAGAUAAUAGAUCUGUCCCUUAACUCCAUAUCUGGGGAAAUCCCGUCGAUGUUUAGAAAUCUUACCCGGAUCAGUGGAUUCUUUCUCCAAAGCAAUGAUCUUAAAGGGAAUAUACCAGAGCAGAUGAGUCGUAUGCAAUCGCUACAAUCCGUGAACCUUUCAGAUAACAAGUUAGUGGGUACUAUUCCAAAAGAAAUAAUGUCUUACUCCCUUUCUAUGGCCAUAGAUUUGUCGCAUAAUCAUCUCAGCGGUCCAUUGCCACUGGAAAUCAGUAAGCUGAAGAACAUACAGAGUAUAAUCCUUUCAAAUAACAACUUAUCUGGUGAAAUUCCGAGCACCAUCGAUGGUUGUGAAGUACUGCAAGCACUUUAUCUUGAUAGGAACAUGUUUGAUGGGUCCUUGCCAUCCUCUUUUGGUAACAUGAGAUCUUUGCAAGUUCUUGAUCUGUCCCACAAUUCUUUUUCUGGUGAAUUACCACACUCUAUAGAUCAGAUGAAGCUCCAAUUCUUGAAUAUUUCUUUCAACAAUUUUGAGGGAGAACUACCCAAAGGAGGAGUAUUCCUUAACAUUACUGCAAUUGAUGUAAGAGGAAAUCCUGAUCUUUGUGGUGGAAUAUCACAAAUGAAGCUACAAAGAUGUGGCAUACAUGUCCAAACACACAAAAAAGGUUACUGGAGAACCAUUGCAAUUGCAUUUUCCAUAAUUGGUGCAUUUGCAAGCUUGUGCAUGGCCAUAUGUUUCUUUGCAUGUCGAUAUUCCAAGAGAUCACAUAGCAAUGCAAAAUCCAGUCAUGCCUUGAAAUUUGAACUCAAGCGGGUGUCCUACAAUGACAUUUUCAAGGCUACAGAUGGUUUCUCUCAGGCUAAUCUAGUCGGAAGAGGCGCAUUUGGAACAGUAUACAAAGCCACCAUGAGCUUUGAAACUCCAACAGUUGUUGCUGUAAAGAUCCUUGACCUUCAAAAGCAAGCUGGUUCUAAGACAUUUGUGACUGAAUGUGAGGCACUGAGAAAUAUACGGCACCGAAACCUUAUUAAGGUUUUGAGCUCAUGUUCCAGUACGGAUCACAACGGUAUUGAUUUCAAGGCACUGGUUUUUGAGUUCAUGCCGAAUGGGAGUCUGGAGACUUGGCUACAUCCUACAGCAUGCACUGCUCGACCAUUUGAAGCUCUAGGCCUUACCCAGAGGAUGGACAUAGCAAUUGAUGUUGCCACAGCAUUAGACUACCUCCACCACCACGGUGCAGUGCCAAUUGUGCACUGCGAUUUGAAGCCUAGCAAUGUUCUUUUGGACGGUGAAAUGGUUGCACAUGUGGGUGAUUUUGGAUUAGCAAAGUUUUUGGUUCAACAAGAUACCAUGAUAUCUCAUUCGGCAACAAGCACCGGGAUCAAGGGUACUAUUGGCUACAUUCCCCCAGAAUAUGGCAUGGGAGCUCAAGCAUCUGUGCAGGGCGAUGCAUAUAGCUAUGGGGUUCUUCUGCUCGAGAUAUUCACUGGAGUAAGUCCAACUGAUGAAAAGUUUGUAGAUGGGAUGAGCCUUCAGAAACUGGUUGAGAUGUCUUUUCCUGAGACAGUCAUGGAAAUAGUUGAUCACAAACUGUUCUUUACUAACGGUCAAAAUAAGAAAGGAAACCAUACCCAUGACCGCGACAAUAUCUAUCAGUGCCUGCUCACGGUGAUACGAUGUGGACUCGGGUGCUCCAGGGAGUUGCCAAGAGAGCGCACCGAUAUGCAUGAUGUUGUCAAAGAGCUAAACUCAGCAAAAGAGAAGCUACUGAGAUGGGACAACCACCAUGUCAUGGUUGAUUGA
rnacentral:rRNA from 1 species